rnacentral:rRNA from 1 species
UGGGAUAACUUCGGGAAACCGGAGCUAAUACCGGAUAAUAUAUUGAACCGCAUGGUUCAAUAGUGAAAGACGGUUUUGCUGUCACUUAUAGAUGGAUCCGCGCCGCAUUAGCUAGUUGGUAAGGUAACGGCUUACCAAGGCAACGAUGCGUAGCCGACCUGAGAGGGUGAUCGGCCACACUGGAACUGAGACACGGUCCAGACUCCUACGGGAGGCAGCAGUAGGGAAUCUUCCGCAAUGGGCGAAAGCCUGACGGAGCAACGCCGCGUGAGUGAUGAAGGUCUUCGGAUCGUAAAACUCUGUUAUUAGGGAAGAACAAAUGUGUAAGUAACUAUGCACGUCUUGACGGUACCUAA